UAGAUGUUAAAAGCAAGAGACAUGGGAGAGCAUCAUUCCUUUGAGAUUUUAUAACUCAAACCAACUUUGGAGUUGUCUGAUUUGGAGAGUCAUUAUUCUUGGUCUUCGCUCUUAGAGGCCACUGAUGAAGAACAGGCAGUGACUGGGAUGAAUCCUGGUCAGAGAGGAGAAUCUUCUUUCCCCUAAACAGCAGUGGUUUUAAAGAAGGACGCUGCCCUGGAUGAUGUAGAUGUCACAUGCUGUGCAGAUGGGGUUUCUUCAUGAUUACAUCAGUUAUGCUAAAGAGAUCAUGAAAAUUGACUGUGAUGCAUGAUCUGUAUUCAUGGACUAUGAAACAAACUGUAAGUGUAUAAUUUGUUUAAAAAAAAAAGUUAAAUGCUUUUUCUGUGUUGUUUAGUAGAAGAGUUUACACUCUGUCAUUCAUACACCUGCUCACAUUCUUUCACACACAUGCGUCUGUUAAAUGUUAUAAUAUCAAAGUUAAUGUUGUGAUUUGUGUACUGUCAUGCCAGAAUAGUUGGAAAAAAAACCUAACUAAUUGUAAAUUUAUUGUAUGUGUUUUCGUAUAUUUUUAUACAAUAUAUACAAUUGAACAAAGUCCAAUU